UACGUAGGGGGCGAGCGUUGUCCGGAAUUAUUGGGCGUAAAGAGCGUGUAGGCGGUUCGGUAAGUCUGCCGUGAAAUCCUGGGGCUCAACCCCGGGCGUGCGGUGGAUACUGCCGGGCUAGAGGGUGGUAGAGGCGAGUGGAAUUCCUGGUGUAGCGGUGAAAUGCGCAGAUAUCAGGAAGAACACCCGUGGCGAAGGCGGCUCUCUGGGACGGUACUGACGCUGAGACGCGAAAGCGUGGGGAGCGAACAGG
rnacentral:rRNA from 1 species